CCUACGGGUGGCAGCAGUGAGGAAUAUUGGUCAAUGGACGAGAGUCUGAACCAGCCAAGUAGCGUGAAGGAUGACUGCCCUAUGGGUUGUAAACUUCUUUUAUAUGGGAAUAAAAUGUUCCACGUGUGGGAUUUUGUAUGUACCAUAUGAAUAAGGAUCGGCUAACUCCGUGCCAGCAGCCGCGGUAAUACGGAGGAUACGAGCGUUAUCCGGAUUUAUUGGGUGUAAAGGGAGCGUAGGUGGAUUGUUAAGUCAGUUGUGAAAGUUUGCGGCUCAACCGUAAAAUUGCAGUUGAAACUGGCAGUCUUGAGUACAGUAGAGGUGGGCGGGAUUCGUGGUGUAGCGGUGAAAUGCUUAGAUAUCACGAAGAACUCCGAUUGCGAAGGCAGUUCACUGGACUGCAACUGACACUGAGGCUCGAAAGUGUGGGUAUCAAACAGGAUUAGAUACCCUUGUAGUC
rnacentral:rRNA from 1 species